rnacentral:rRNA from 1 species
GAUGAACGCUGGCGGCGUGCCUAAUACAUGCAAGUCGAGCGAACGGACGAGAAGCUUGCUUCUCUGAUGUUAGCGGCGGACGGGUGAGUAACACGUGGAUAACCUACCUAUAAGACUGGGAUAACUUCGGGAAACCGUAGCUAAUACCGGCUAAUAUUUUGAACCGCAUGGUUCAAAAGUGAAAGACGCUUUUGCUGUCACUUAUAGAUGGUUCCGCGCUGCAUUAGCUAGUUGGUAAGGUAACGGCUUACCAAGGCAACGAUGCGUAGCCGACCUGAGAGGGUGAUCGGCCACACUGGAACUGAGACACGGUCCAGACUCCUACGGGAGGCAGCAGUAGGGAAUCUUCCGCAAUGGGCGAAAGCCUGACGGAGCAACGCCGCGUGAGUGAUGAAGGUCUUCGGAUCGUAAAACUCUGUUAUUAGGGAAGAACAGAUGUGUAAGUAACUGUGCACAUCUUGACGGUACCUAAUCAGAAAGCAACGGCUAACUACGUG